rnacentral:rRNA from 1 species
AGGACGAACGCUGGCGGCGUGCUUAACACAUGCAAGUCGAGCGGUAAGGCCUUUCGGGGUACACGAGCGGCGAACGGGUGAGUAACACGUGGGUGAUCUGCCCUGCACUCUGGGAUAAGCCUGGGAAACUGGGUCUAAUACCGGAUAUGACCUGCUCUCGCAUGGGGGUGGGUGGAAAGAUUUAUCGGUGCAGGAUGGGCCCGCGGCCUAUCAGCUUGUUGGUGGGUAAUGGCCUACCAAGGCGACGACGGGUA